UACGGAGGGUGCAAGCGUUAAUCGGAAUUACUGGGCGUAAAGCGCACGCAGGCGGUCUGUCAAGUCGGAUGUGAAAGCCCCGGGCUCAACCUGGGAACUGCAUCCGAAACUGGCAGGCUAGAGUCUUGUAGAGGGGGGUAGAAUUCCAGGUGUAGCGGUGAAAUGCGUAGAGAUCUGGAGGAAAACCGGUGGCGAAGGCGGCCCCCUGGACAAAGACUGACGCUCAGGUGCGAAAGCGUGGGGAGCAAACAGGAUUAGAUACCCUGGUAGUCCACGCCGUAACCGAUGUCGCCUUGGAGGUUGUGCCCUUGAGGCGUGGCUUCCGGAGCUAACGCGUUAAGUCGCCCGCCUGGGGAGUACGGCCGCAAGGUUAAA
rnacentral:rRNA from 1 species